rnacentral:rRNA from 1 species
CCUACGGGAGUCAGCAGUAAGGAAUAUUGGACAAUGGUGGCAACACUGAUCCAGCCAUGCCGCGUGCAGGAUGACGGUUCUAUGAAUUGUAAACUGCUUUUAUACGGGAAAAACCCUCAAGACGUGAUUUUGAGCUGAUUGUACCGUAAGAAUAAGGAUCGGCUAACUUCGUGCCAGCAGCCGCGGUAAGACGAAGGAUCCAAGCGUUAUCCGGAUUUAUUGGGUUUAAAGGGUGCGUAGGCGGACUCAUAAGUCAGUGGUGAAAUCCCAAAGCUUAACUUUGGAACUGCCAUUGAUACUGUAAGUCUUGAGUAUGUUUGAAGUGGGCGGAAUGUAUUGUGUAGCGGUGAAAUGCUUAGAUAUAAUACAGAACACCAAUUGCGAAGGCAGCUCACUAAACCAUAACUGACGCUGAGGCACGAAAGCAUGGGGAGCAAACAGGAUUAGAUACCCUGGUAGUCCAUGCCCUAAACGAUGAAUACUCGAUAUGUGCGAUAUACAGUACGUGUCUAAGCGAAAGNAUAUAUCACGNGGAGAGCGCGCGAGAGUAGAACGUACAAGUAGUAGUUAGUUACGGCGUUGAGACGAGCCGACGGACGACGACGAGGGAGGUUAGG